rnacentral:rRNA from 1 species
GAUCCUGGCUUAGAGUGAACGCUGGCGGUAGGCCUAACACAUGCAAGUCGAGGGGCAUCACGGGAGUAGCAAUACAACUGGUGGCGACCGGCGCACGGGUGAGUAACGCGUAUGCAACCUACCUAUCAGAGGGGAAUAACCCGGCGAAAGUCGGACUAAUACCGCAUAAAACAGGGGCACCGCAUGGUGAUAUUUGUUAAAGAAAUUCGCUGAUAGAUGGGCAUGCGUUCCAUUAGGUAGUUGGUGAGGUAACGGCUCACCAAGCCGACGAUGGAUAGGGGAACUGAGAGGUUGGUCCCCCACACUGGUACUGAGACACGGACCAGACUCCUACGGGAGGCAGCAGUGAGGAAUAUUGGUCAAUGGGCGGGAGCCUGAACCAGCCAAGUCGCGUGAAAGGAUGAAGGUCCUAUGGAUUGUAAACUUCUUUUAUAGUAGAAUAAAGUGAGCCACGUGUGGUUUUUGUAUGUAUACUAUGAAUAAGGAUCGGCUAACUCCGUGCCAGCCGCCGC